rnacentral:ncRNA from 2 species
AAACCAAGCUAGGGGUGCCUGAGAAACCAGGCUGAGAUUACACCCUUAGAACCUGAGUCCGGUUAAUACCGGCGGAGGGAAGCUGUGAUCGAGGAAA